CUUUCUCUAUAAUCAUAAUGAAAAAAAAAAAAUUACAGAAAAAUUCUCGUGGUUCUUAAUGUACCUACAGACAGAUGUAUCAUUCUAUCCUUUUCUUGGCGCAUUUUAAUUUAUGUGAUUUAUUCAUGGAGUACCAAAUAUGUUUUUUUCCCCUUUUACCAAGAACUCAAAAGAUUUAAACUGACAAUCAUCACCCUCGCACUCCUGCAAAAUCCAAUCACUAAUUUUCCAAAUGUUCUGCAGUUGACAGGAAUUCUUCAGACUCCACUGCAAAUCCUCGGACGAGACACUUGACCUCUACGCUCCACGGCCAAAUCAGGUAUUAUAUAGAUCUCGCAUAUCCAAGGUCAAUGAAAAAGGCUGAAGCACCCUCUUCUUCGAAAGCAAAAUUGAAGAGGACCUAUAAAAAAAUCAACACCAAAUACUUCUUGAAUAAAGAAGAAGUGAAAAACUCCUUCAAACGACUUCAGAUUGUAUGUUUCUCGGAAAAGCCUCGAACAAACACCAAAAUCUUGAGCAAUGCACGCGAACUCAACAAAGCGUGGGAGAGAGAUUUUUCUCUCGUCGAUGUAGCUGCAAAUCAACUGAAUCUUCGAGAACUGAUUCAGAGAGCACGAUCCACCGUGAAAGAAAUUGAAAACUUCAAUCUUUAGACUCACAGAGAGAUGAGAAGAUUAAGGUUUCGAGGGUUGAGAUAAAAGGAAUCUCGUAAUAUGCUAAAACGAUUGAUUGAUAGAAUAUCAUAUAUAGGGGAAAGUUAAAGUUAAGGCCCCAACCAGGGCGAUGGGCGUGCGACUGGCAUCAUG
rnacentral:lncRNA from 1 species